CUCCCCUAACCAAAACCCUGACAAAUAGAGCCAGGGAAGGCCAUGCAAAAAAGGAUUCUUGGGCUUGUAUGCCUGAUAACAAAAAAUUAUCACAGAAGACUGCAAAAAACACAAUCUUGCACAAAGCCCAUUGCAACUUUGCACACAACAAUGCUUCUGAAGGAUAUUUGCCCAACAACUGCCUGUCCAGCCUGGGCCUGGCUAGGUUGACAAGAGAAAUGUGAACAUUUGAGAGCUCAGGUAAAAGGCCUUAGUCUAUAGUGAAACUUUUUUGUGAACAUGUUGUUAUGAGUACUUAGAACAAGUAAUAAUGGCUUUUGAUGUAUAGUAGUAAGAAAGCUUCCUUUUAAAAGGCAUGUAUUUAAGUUUCAAAAGUGGGGCUAUUUAAAAAUAUAUGAAAUAAAUAAUAGUAGAGGUAAUUGACAGAGCAAAAUUAUGAAGGCAGGAUGAGAAUGACUCAAGUUUGGGAAAUGCUGAGAAAGCAGAUGCCCAAGGGCUAUGAAAACUUAAAAAAUAGGUAGCACUUGAUUUUGAUUGGCUGAAUGAGAUGAUGUGUUUGAUCACUUAUGGGGUU
rnacentral:lncRNA from 1 species